CUUUAGCACAAUGUGUACACAGAGUGAAUGUGGCCCUUUUCCCCCAAUCCUGUAAGAAAUGCACUGGCUCGUGUGUGUCGAGUAAAGCAGUGCUUACCUGAGAGCAGCUUAUUGUAAUAGCAUUAGACACUACGUAUUCUGCUCAUACUGAAGCCCUACCUACAUUACUGCACAGCGAGGGGUGAAGAAGUGUAUACUGUAUGCAGAGAAACUAAGAAUUUGAGGGGGUAAGAGAUUAACAGAGGGAAAGCGGGAUACAAACGUUUUUCAUGCUGGCAUUUCCACAACAGGGAGAGUGUUUUUCAAAGGCAUUUUGAGCAUUUAAAAUUCUGGCCCGGGUUUAAAAUGCAUGUGUGAAAUCUGUCCCUUGAGGUUCGAUACACUUCUGAUUUUCAUUCUUCUCUAAUCAGGGACUGGUUUAGACCUGGGACACCAGAUGAGUGGGAGAAGAGGCACGCUCUGCUCCUUUAUAACCUGCAGAUCAAGAGGCGCAUCUCAUACACCAAAAGGCAAUGGACACGACUCAUGCAGCUAGGAACAGGAGAGAACAGUGUUGUCCAGACUGGGCUGCAGGCUGCGGUGGUGCUGUGUGUGUUGGGAGAGGCAGAGGGGUGACAGGGCCGUGAAGUGCACAGUCCCAGGCGGCCUACUGGCUCCAGUGCUGGAGGGACCUGGGCAGGAUCUGUACCACCUGUGUCCCGCUAGUAACUGGGACCCAGUAGAGAGCUGUUCAGACACAGACAUGUACUAUGUUAGGGCGACCACCUAUUAGGGUGACCAUCUAAAUUAUAUUAUAUUAUAUAAAGAUAUUUAGCAUAUUAGGCCAUUACAGGUUUUGGUCCUGAAUCUUUUUCAAUGGCAAUAAAACAAA